UACGUAGGGAGCAAGCGUUGUCCGGAAUCAUUGGGCGUAAAGCGCGCAUAGGCGGCGUGGUAAGUCACUUGUGAAAUCUCUGAGCUUAACUCAGAACGGCCAAGUGAUACUGCUGUGCUAGAGUGCAGAAGGGGCAAUCGGAAUUCUUGGUGUAGCGGUGAAAUGCGUAGAUAUCAAGAGGAACACCUGAGGUGAAGACGGGUUGCUGGGCUGACACUGACGCUGAGGCGCGAAAGCCAGGGGAGCAAACGGG
rnacentral:rRNA from 1 species